rnacentral:rRNA from 1 species
GACGAACGCUGGCGGCGUGCUUAACACAUGCAAGUCGAACGAUGACGACCGAGCUUGCUCGGUCUGAUUAGUGGCGAACGGGUGAGUAACACGUGAGCAACCUGCCCUUCACUCUGGGAUAACCUCGGGAAAUCGGGGCUAAUACCGGAUAUGAGCUCCUGUCGCAUGGCGGGUGUUGGAAAGUUUUUCGGUGAAGGAUGGGCUCGCGGCCUAUCAGUUUGUUGGUGAGGAAGUGGCUCACCAAGGCGAUGACGGGUAGCCGGCCUGAGAGGGCGACCGGCCACACUGGGACUGAGACACGGCCCAGACUCCUACGGGAGGCAGCAGUGGGGAAUAUUGCACAAUGGGCGAAAGCCUGAUGCAGCGACGCCGCGUGAGGGAUGACGGCCUUCGGGUUGUAAACCUCUUUCAGCAGGGAAGAAGCGAAAGUGACGGUACCUGCAGAAGAAGCGCCGGCUAACUACGUG